GCUUGCACCUUUCAAUGCGAGUGGCGAACGGGUGAGUAACACGUGGGAUAACCUGCCUCAAGGCUGGGGAUAACAUUUGGAAACAGAUGCUAAUACCGAAUAAAACUUAGUAUCGCAUGAUACAAAGUUGAAAGGCGCUACGGCGUCACCUAGAGAUGGGUCCGCGGUGCAUUAGUUAGUUGGUGGGGUAAAGGCCUACCAAGACAAUGAUGCAUAGCCGAGUUGAGAGACUGAUCGGCCACAUUGGGACUGAGACACGGCCCAAACUCCUACGGGAGGCUGCAGUAGGGAAUCUUCCACAAUGGGCGAAAGCCUGAUGGAGCAACGCCGCGUGUGUGAUGAAGGCUUUAGGGUCGUAAAGCACUGUUGUAUGGGAAGAAAUGCUAGAAUAGGGAAUGAUUCUAGUUCGACGGUACCAUACCAGAAAGGGACGGCUAAAUACGUGCCAGCAGCCGCGGUAAUACGUAUGUCCCGAGCGUUAUCCGGAUUUAUUGGGCGUAAAGCGAGCGCAGACGGUUGAUUAAGUCUGAUGUGAAAGCCCGGAGCUCAACUCCGGAAUGGAAUUGGAAACUGGUUAACUUGAGUGUUGUAGAGGUAAGUGGAAUUUCAUGUGU
rnacentral:rRNA from 1 species